rnacentral:rRNA from 1 species
GUGCAGCAGGCGAGAAUACUUUACAAUGUGCGAAAGCACGAUAAGGGAACUCUGAGUGCCUCCUAAGGAGGCUGUUCAGGUGUCUAAAAGCACCUGAAGGAAGGGCUGGGUAAGACCGGUGCCAGCCGCCGCGGUAACACCGGCAGCCCAAGUGGUAGCCACGUUUAUUGGGUCUAAAGCGUCCGUAGCCGGCUGGGUAAGUUCCUUGGGAAAUUUGGCUGCUUAACAGUCAAGCUUUCAGGGAAUACUGCCCGGCUUGGGACCGGGAGAGGUCAGAGGUACUCCAGGGGUAGGGUGAAAUCCAUUAAUCCUUGGGGGACCACCGGUAGCGAAGGCGUCUGACCAGACCGGGUCCGACGGUGAGGGACGAAGGCUA